AUUGAACGCUGGCGGAAUGCUUUACACAUGCAAGUCGAGCGGCAGCGCGGGGGCAACCCUGGCGGCGAGCGGCGAACGGGUGAGUAACAUAUCGGAACGUACCCCGUCGUGGGGGAUAACACAGCGAAAGCUGUGCUAAUACCGCAUACGACCUGAGGGUGAAAGCGGGGGAUCGCAAGACCUCGCGCGAUGGGAGCGGCCGAUAUCGGAUUAGCUUGUUGGUGAGGUAAAGGCUCACCAAGGCGACGAUCCGUAGCUGGUCUGAGAGGACGACCAGCCACACUGGAACUGAGACACGGUCCAGACUCCUACGGGAGGCAGCAGUGGGGAAUUUUGGACAAUGGGGGCAACCCUGAUCCAGCCAUGCCGCGUGAGUGAAGAAGGCCUCGGUUGUAAG
rnacentral:rRNA from 1 species